CCUACGGGUGGGCAGCAGUGAGGAAUAUUGGUCAAUGGGCGUAAGCCUGAACCAGCAAAGUCGCGUGAGGGAUGAAGGUUCUAUGGAUCGUAAACCUCUUUUAUAAGGGAAUAAAGUGUGGGACGUGUCCUAUUUUGUAUGUACCUUAUGAAUAAGGAUCGGCUAACUCCGUGCCAGCAGACGCGGUAAUACGGAGGAUCCGAGCGUGCUCCGGAUUUAUUGGGUUUAAAGGUUGCGUGGGCGGCCUUUUAAGUCAGCUGUGAAAGUCUGUGGCUCAACCAUAGAAUUGCCGUUGAAACUGUGGUGCUUGAGUAUGUUUGAGGCAGGCGGAAUGCGUGGUGUAGCGGUGAAAUGCUUAGAUUUCACGCAGAACCCCGAUUGCGAAGGCAGCCGGCCAAGCCAUGACUGACGCUGAUGCACGAAAGCGUGGGGAUCAAACAGGAUUAGAUACCCCAGUAGUC
rnacentral:rRNA from 1 species